rnacentral:lncRNA from 1 species
UUUUUUUUUCUGUAUCCAACAUUUGAAAUAUAAAAUAAUAAAGGAUGCAUUUGUUUUAACUUUAAAAAAAGUGCGCGUCCUUCAUGCCCGUUCCGAACUUAGUCCGUUAAUAUCUUGCUUGUGUUUAUGGUAAAAUUGUAUUUGUACGACUGACUAUUUGGUUUACCUAUGUUCUCCAUAUUUCUAUUUUUGUGGGAGGGAAUGUUUUACCAUGUUUUGUCAUUCAAAAUGAUAUUAGAGUAGUUUAUUUUAUUUUCUCUCGCUCUAACCACUUCCUAUCAUGCCAUAUAUGUAAGAAAAUGAUUAGAUGACCUUUUGAUUGACUCAAAUCAAAGUUACAACCUCUUGGAUUCUCGUUAGACAUGAUCACGACCCUAAUAAGACCCAAUAACAUCCUCCAAGUCCAUUUAGAUUUGGUAGCUAUGUUAUGUUUGUCAGUCAACCUACAAUUGAUUCAACUAUCAAUCUAUCCUACAUCAAUUGAUUUCAACUGUCAGGUGAUUGUGAUGCAACAAGUAGUCGAAUACUUUCAAUAAAGUCUACGACAACUUCUACGUCUAUUUAGAUUUGGUAGUCACAUUCAACUGUCAACCGAUUCCGCAACUGAUAAGCGAAUACUCUUACUCUAUCCAACGACUAAUACGUAAUUCAACUACUUAAGUUUUGUUAUAUCAAAGAGCUAAAUAAGUUUCUGAACCCUAUAAAUAUACCAUUUUUUGUUUUUAGUCUUUCCAAAAAAAAACUCAAAUAAUGAUACUCAGUCAUUUUCUGUCAACAACUUUGAUCUAUGUAGUUGAUCAAUUCAACGUUGACGUGGACACCAUGUGUGUAAUGCUUUAAUUAAAAAAUUACACACGUGGCAUCCUCGUCAGCGAUAAAUUGGUCAAAAUUGGUUAGGGGGCCAAAAAUGCAAAAUGGCAGUACUUAAGGGGCUGAAUUGUAUUUUAUUUUGUUAGGGGGCCAACUGCUAUUAAGCCUUUCGUAAUAUCCUCACAGCCCCCAACCCAAAAAUAAAAUAAAAAUCCAAAAAAUAGAUUCAUGAGAAGAAAUGAUACAUGUGGAAGCUUUGAAGAAAGAAAGAAAAUAAACCGGAUUAGAAGACAAUAUAGAUUUAAGGAGAAUCAGCUCAGCCCCCAAAGAAAUUUUUUACCCUUCCGUUCAGUCAGUCUACUUCGAAUACGAUCGACCAAAGGGUACAAAAACUAAAGUUUUCUCGGAUCUCCACCAAUAGGCAACCCAAAAUACAAAAAAGGAAGACGAUUAUGCUUACAAUUCAUUACCAUGUCCGCCUAAUGUAACCAAUAUUCAGCCAUAUUAAUCCCAAAGAGCAUUCUUUUAUGAAAGUUUACUUUUAACCCAGACAUCUUUUCAAACAAAAGUAAAACAGUCUUCAAAGCAGGGACGUUUGCCCAACUUUUUCCACCCACCAACAAAGUGUCAUCAGCAACAAUGACUAAAUUUUUUGACGAAAAACAUUUAAAGAUUUCUUGUUUAAAUAUUUAUUUUAGCAAGAAUAAAAAUAAAAAAUGAUACUAAUGUAUGUAUUAAUCAAAAGACUUUUUUUAGGUAGGUAGACGAAAUGAUGAUAACCAUAAAAAAAAAAAAAACCACAUACGCAAGUGAAGAAACGAAGUUUGAAUCUUGGUCACAACGUUUAGUUUAACAAUUUUGACGUUAAAUUGAGGUAUAUUCUCAUUUUGGGUAAAAGAAAAAACAAAGAGUCGUGUGUUAACAUUUGUCUUAAGAACAAAUGUUAAAGAUUUUACAAAUAAAUUAACACAACUUUCGGUAUAUAAUAUCUUUUUCUUAAAAAAAAAAAGUAUAUAAUAUUUUAUUUUGGUCAAGAUAGCUUUUUUUUUCUUUUUUUCCGGUCAAGACAUCUUUUUUUUUCUUUACUAAAAUUAUAUUUAUUUUUUUCUUAAAAGAAAAUUCUAUUUUGAUAUAUUAAAGCAUUUUUCAAAAACAAAUUAGGGAAAAAUAAAAAGGCGGCGGCGAAGACCGACUCAUUGAGCCAUACUAUGGAGAUGAUAAUCCACUACUCUACAUAUAACUCAGAACUCCAUGCACUCUACCCUGUUUCUUCAAUAGUGAAAAAAACCCGUGCGCUUUUACAAGACUCAGCGGUGAAAGCUAUAACGCUGCUUCAACACCCACUCUCCACUAUUCAAUCUCUAACCCUUCUUCCCCCAAUUCGCUUCUACUUCAAGGUAAAUUCCUCAUUCACCUUUUUCGCUUUUCGAUAAUCGCUUUUUCCAUUUCAAUUACAAUCAUUAUCGCACUUUUUUCGGUUUUUUUGAAUUUUAUUCGGUGAAUAAUCGAAUUGUUGAUGUUUAUUCAUCAUCAGUGUUCUAUGUAGCUAGGUUUUGAAUUUUGAUUAUAAACUAAUUCGUCUCUAAGCAAUUUUUGCAUGAGGGAAAUUAGGUUCGCAAAUUUGUUUCCCUUUUGUUAGGUUUGUAAUUUAUUUACUUAAUCGUGCAUCAUGCAUGUUUGAAUGUUUGAGUGAUUAUCAUGUAGUUUAGGUCAUUGUGAUUUUUUAUCACUUUGUGUAUAAGGGGGAAAUUUUUGAACUGUAUUCAUAUGAUUUUUUUUUUUGAAUUUGGUGGCAUAUGUUAAGAGAAACUGCAAAGUAUAUUUUUUUCGAUUAAAAUACAAGUAAAAAUGCAAAUGCUAUACAAUUGUAUUUGAAUGUUUUUUUUAUUUAUUAUUUGGAUUGGAAUGUGCUUGAUAUUUUUGAUUUGGCAUGUGAGAAAGUGUAGCUGAUAGUUUAGUCUUGUGUGUUUUGAUUUGUUCCUGGUUAAAAGCUUCUAAAUUCUAUCUAAUGUGGAUUUUUUUACUUCUCAGUUUCAUGCAUUGUUUCUGAAAUCAAUACCUUUUGAAUAUGCACUUUUUUGGGGUCAUGAGCCCAACAGGUUUUGCUAUGUAUUGAAAUCUUAAUCACAAAUGGGCUGUUUAUGUUGUUGCUUUGUUGUUUGAGCAGUCACUGCCUUACGUUUUUUUGUGUCAGCUAAAAUACUUGGAGUUGGCUGUUUAAACAUAUAUGAAUGCAUUUGACGAGCUUUGUCACAUUUUGCAUUGCUGAUGAUACUACGAGCUUUAUCACAUUUAAACAUAUAUAAAUGCAUUUGACGAGCUUUAUCACAUAUUGCAUUGCUGAUGAUACUAUGAUAUAUAUGAUAUCAAUACAAAUAUAAACAGUUAUUUAUGCAUGUGAAGGGUUUCUUUGUGCUCAUGCACAAAAAAGGAGGGUUAUAAAAAAAGACGAGUUCCUAUUGAAGGAACUGGAUACAGAGUGAUUGGCUUCAAGUGAUUAAUGAGCAUUACCUAAGGCCGAAUCGUUCGGGAGAACCCGAGUUUGAUUCCUAGGUGGAACAAUUCCUGGCCAGACUUUACCUUACUUAGCUCUUGGCCUAACUCUGGAUUACUAUGGUCCAUUACCCUAGAAACUAGAAGGUUAACUCAAAAAAAAAUGGAUAGGCCAAAUUCGUUGGGUAUUGUUAGCUAGAGUGAAUAUGAUCCUAUUUUACUCUUGUUCUCAAGUUUCAAGGUGUGCUUUAACUUCAUUUUAUUGGGAUUGAUUGGGAAUUUCAAAUUGUCAUGAUAUCAUCUACUGUGGUGAUAAGUUGGUGCAGGAGCUGUAAGGUUAUUCCUUUAUAGAAUGGACUUGGUACACAUCACAUUAGCACUGAUUCCUCCAUCUUAUAAGCAUGCUUUUUGGAGUGCUUACACUCUACACAUGAAAUGGUACCUCUGCCUUGUCUGUCUAUCCACACGUGCGGAUGUACUUGCCUUUCCAACCUGUCAGGGUUGACGGAGGAGUUUGAGUCUCAUACUGAAUGGGUGCGCAACACAACUCCCAUCUAUGGUGCUCUUACCAGGUUGCUUGCAUGAGUGUGCAUAUGUUCAUUGAAUAGGAGUUCCAUCCUGGAAGAAAGGACUUUGCCUACAUGUUGGACAGUUGAAGUUGUCUUUUAAUUCUUAGUAAAUUUUUCUGCAUGGGUCAGAUGAUCGUGGAAAUCAUGUGAACUUCCAAAAUUUCAGAUUUUGUUUACAGGGUCCAUUUUGCGUGAAUUGAUCUUCACAUGUAAAGAGGCUUUUAUACAAGUUGGGAUUUAACAAAUAAGCUGUAAUGGUGUUCAUGUGAAUUUUUUCAAAUAUUCUUUAUUUUUGAAUUGUUUAAUUAGUUUCACAUGAUUUGUUCGGUAAUAUUAUUAUUAUUUUUUUAAUGGCAUGAUUUGUUCCAUAAUAAUCUCGUGUCCUGGAGGAAAAAGUAAUAGCUACGAACUACUAGUAGUUUCUGAUGCUUUUUCAUUUUUGUAGUGUAUUGUGUGGUCUGGAGAAUGGGAAGUAACAGCGUUGAAAAGAUCCCUAGCAAUAACAGCACUGGAAGUUCAGAAACCACUAUUGAGAUAAAGCUCAAAACACUUGAUUCACAAACUUAUACUCUCAGAGUGGAUAAACAGGUAAUUCUUUGACUACUCAUAAACGUUCUUCACUUUUUUUUUUUUUUUUUUUAAUUUCUCCAGUAUAAUUCUUCUAUUUAUGUUCAUGUUAUUUCGUUUCUUGCACAUUAUGCCUCAUUUAAGUAGAUACAUGUAUAAUACCUCAUUCAAGUAGAUACAUGUAUGUAGUUGGAAUAUAAGGAAAAUAUUUCAGAAUACUUGGGUUGUGCUUUAGAGUAAUUUAGAUUAUCUUGGAUUAUUUUUUAGAAUUGGUAGUCGACCCCAUAUAGUGAGAUAAGACUUGGUUCUUAUUGUUGUAUAUCGACUCUCAGGAUUUGUUUCCAUAUUUCUUUGUAUUUCAUGAUUUGUUUCUUUGUUUAAUUGGAAUUAUGAGUUUUUAAUAAUUACGAUCACUUCUAUAUUUAUAGUUUGGAUUUAGAGUCUAGAUUAAUGUAAGUAUAAGUGUUGGUCUUGUAAUCUCUAUUAUUUCUCUUCCCACCUUUCUUAUCUAAAAUCUCACAAGUUCGGCAUUGUAUUGCCAUAUUAAAGCAGAGGAAUGCUAUUGUCUUCAUGAUUCUUUUAUUCUUGCUGACCAUGCACACUUUUUUGGCAAUACUUUCUCUCCUGUUCUCUCCUUGUUGAUGGGUUUCUUCUACUUACUGUAUCCACAACCUGUCUCAAAAGCCUUGAAUCAUUCCAUCUUGUGAUUUUGUCAUUUUGCUGGUAAGCACCAGCCAAGGUUUGUGUAACACCCAAAAUUUAAGUAAACUCGCCUUCAUAGACUCUACUUGUAGACUCAUAAGAGUGUACCUACUAUUGAAAUUAUCUAUAUAUAAUAUAUGACAGAUAUAGAUAAUAUAACGUUUGAUAGAUGAAAUUUAUUAGAGUUUAAGACUAAAAGUAUGGUUUGUUUAUAAAAAAAUAAAUAAAAAAGAAGUAUACUUGGAUGAGUAACUUUUAAAUAAAUUUACAUUUUGAAGACAGAAGUAAAUAUGAAAUAAAAAAUGAAGUUGGAGAAAUAAAGUCGUAUCCAGGCAUAACAUUUGUCUCUCACGACAACGCUAAAAACUUGAAUGUUACAACUGUUAACAUGCAAUUUAGCUUGUUUUUAUGACCUAGAAUCUUAAACUCGCAAGAUUUGUCAAAAAAAUAAGAAAUCUUAAAUCGCAAGAGUUUAAGACUUAACUUUAGAGUUCGAUAACCACGUAUUUGGUACCAUUUGUUUUUCGUCCAUCUUGAAAGAAGUUGCUUGAUACCUCCGCUUGUGGCAAUGUCCUUAUCAAUGUUAGAAAGCUGCAAAGUGCUCUGCAGCCAGCUUCUUCUUCUUGAAAUCCAUCGAGCUUUCCAUGGCUGAUAUGGAUUUCUCCAAUACUCUACACACAAUUCCUUCAUUAUAUUAUUGCUGGUGGUUUCUCAGGAUCCAGCAGGUCGGGCCUCUCCUUCCUUAUCUAUAACUUUAGAACAUGUUUUGAGUUUCGACCUAUCAAAAACUUUUAAGAGUUUGUUUGUCUGUUUCUUUUCAAAGAAAAAUGUGGUUUAUGAGUUAAAAAAAAUUGAAUAUCUUCAUAAUGAUUUAAAAAAAAUUACGUGAAAAUAAAGUAUCGAAGUAGUUGUUUCAUUAUUGUUGUUUUUUCCUUGGAAACUAGAUACAAUCCUCCAAACAACUAUGCCGUAACUCGAUUAGUUUAAAGCUUAUCCAAAUGCACCAUAUUUAUUUGAUGCUGAUAACUGCUCAAAGCUGCUGUGUUAAGUAUCUUGAUCAUUUAGCCAGCAUCAUUCAAUUACUUAUCUGAACUGUUGAUCCUCCCUUCAAUUACUCCCUUGUUCUGCAGAUGCCAGUCCCUGCUUUGAAAGAACAGAUUGCUACUGUAACUGGAGUGUUAUCAGAACAGCAGCGCUUAAUUUGCCAAGGGAAAGUUCUAAAGGAUGAUCAACUACUGUCUGCAUACCGUAUCCUUUAUCUUUUUAUUGUGUUUAACUUCACAGAGAAGGCCUAUGUGGCUUUCUCUUUGCAGACUGACAAAAAUGCCAGAUUUCUCAUUCCAUAUCGUCAGUAGCGGAGCCAGAAUAUUUAGAUCGUGGGGGCAUAUAAGAUAUGGAUUUGUCUCAAUGAGUAUUUUCAAAAUAUUAUCUUUUUCUAUAAUUUUUGCUAAUAGAUGAUUAUAAGUAUUAAAGAUAAAAAUUGUGUAUUGACAUAUGUGAAACAUGCAACUAAGUCAUUUUAGGACGGAGGAAGUAAUAAAGUUUGCAUUAAAAAUUGAAAGGCUGGAUUACACAAGAGGUCUUUAAGUUAUUUAAUUACAACAAGUUGGUUUUUGUUACCAAAAAAAAAUUACAAGUUGGUUUUAAGUUUUUUCGUACCACUUACGCUCUUUAAGUUACUUAACUGUAACAAGUUGGUCCUUAAAUUAAGUAUUUUCCAUACAACUUAGAUCCUUUAAGUUAUUUAAUUGUAAAUUUUAAGCGUUGAAAAACUUAAAUUUCUAAGAUCUGAAAUCUCUCAAAUUGUUACGGUUAAAUAACUUAAAAGACUAAGUGAUACGGAAAAAAAACUUAACAGACCAACUUGUUACAGUUAAAUAACUUAAAGGACCUAAGAGGUACGAAAAAAACGUAAAUGAUCAACUUAUUACAAUUAAAUAACUUAAAGAAUUUAUGAUAUAAUUUAGCCAAAUUGAAAUUAUCAUUCAAUUUGAAAAAAUAAAUUAUUACAAAUAAUCACAAAAUAUAUACUAUGAUCAAUUGAUCAAUUUAUCAAUAAAUAAUAAAUGAGAUAUUAAGUAAUUGGAAUAGCC